rnacentral:rRNA from 1 species
UACAGAGGGUGCAAGCGUUAAUCGGAAUUACUGGGCGUAAAGCGUGCGUAGACGGUUAUGUAAGUCGGGUGUGAAAGCCCCGGGCUCAACCUGGGAACUGCAUUUGUGACUGCACAGCUGGAGUGCGGCAGAGGGGGAUGGAAUUCCGCGUGUAGCAGUGAAAUGCGUAGAUAUGCGGAGGAACACCGAUGGCGAAGGCAAUCCCCUGGGCCUGCACUGACGCUCAUGCACGAAAGCGUGGGGAGCAAACAGG